CUACGGGUCGCUGCAGUGAGGAAUAUUGCACAAUGGGGGGAACCCUGAUGCAGCAACGCCGCGUGGAGGAUGACGCAUUUCGGUGUGUAAACUCCUUUUAUAUGUCAAGAAAAUGACGGUAGCAUAUGAAUAAGCACCGGCUAACUCCGUGCCAGCAGCCGCGGCAAUACGGAGGGUGCAAGCGUUACUCGGAAUCACUGGGCGUAAAGGACGCGUAGGCGGGUUGGAAAGUCAGGUGUGAAAUCCUACAGCUUAACUGUAGAACUGCACUUGAAACUUCUAAUCUAGAGUAUGGGAGGGGGAGAUGGAAUUAGUGGUGUAGGGGUAAAAUCCGUAGAUAUCACUAGGAAUACCUAAAGCGAAGGCGAUCUCCUGGAACAUUACUGACGCUAAGGCGUGAAAGCGUGGGGAGCAAACAGGAUUAGAUACCCCUGUAGUC
rnacentral:rRNA from 1 species